rnacentral:tRNA from 1 species
UCCCUGGUGGUCCAAUGGUUAGGACACUGUGCUUCCGCUGCAGGGGACUUGGGUUCAAUUCCUGGCCCAGGAA